UCAGGAUGAACGCUGGCGGCGUGCUUAACACAUGCAAGUCGAACGAUGAUGCCCACUUGUGGGUGGAUUAGUGGCGAACGGGUGAGUAACACGUGAGUAACCUGCCCUUGACUCUGGGAUAAGCCUGGGAAACUGGGUCUAAUACCGGAUAUGACCNUCCAUCGCAUGGUGGUUGGUGGAAAGCUUUUGUGGUUUUGGAUGGACUCGCGGCCUAUCAGCUUGUUGGUGGGGUAAUGGCCUACCAAGGCGACGACGGGUAGCCGGCCUGAGAGGGUGACCGGCCACACUGGGACUGAGACACGGCCCAGACUCCUACGGGAGGCAGCAGUGGGGAAUAUUGCACAAUGGGCGCAAGCCUGAUGCAGCGACGCCGCGUGAGGGAUGACGGCCUUCGGGUUGUAAACCUCUUUCAGUAGGGAANAAGCGUAAGUGACGUACCUGCAGA
rnacentral:rRNA from 1 species